AGGAAAAGUCACAUUUUUAAUUCGUUUAAUUUUGCAAACAAAAAACAUGAAAAACAACCAAUUAGUGUCGUAUUGCCACGAAAAAUAGUAAAUGCAAUGAAAUAAAGUGUUCAGAGACUAAAUUAGAAUAACGGACAAAGAUCUCGAACUGUAGAAGAAUCCUGAAAUGCAAUCUAUUACAGACGUCCAAUUUACGAGGACUUGUGCCAUGUUUAUUAAGUGUUUCAUAAAUUUCUAACAAUUUGAGUGCUCAAAGUGCAUCCGACUUUCAUGUUUUCUCGGUGUUUCAUGUCUGUCUGAUGUCUGCUCAUCUCCAACAACAAGGAAGUGACAUCAUUUCCAAGUUUCAUAAUGGUACUAAAUGUUAUUUAAAUUUGAUAAAAUAACAUUAAAAUAAAAUAACUCCUUUAUUUGUGGUUUAUGAA